rnacentral:lncRNA from 1 species
GUGGCUGCAUGCCAGCCAGACACCCAGUCUUGCAAGACUGUCAUUGAAAAUCUCCGUUUUGCUGUUCUCCGGGUCUCUGCGUCCAGUCUUUGUGUUUGGACGGACCUGCCGGGCCAUCUUUCUGCAAGAAGAUAAAGGAAGACCAGGAGUGCCUGCCGAACUCCUAUGGAGGAAGUCUAGGAGAGGAAGGGGUAGGACCAAGGGCACUGCUGUGGGCUGAAGGGAGGAAGAUGGUGUCUGCAAACCAGGAAGCAGCCUUGCCAGACACAGGAUUGGCCACAACCUUGACCCCAGACUUCCAGCCUCCAGAACUGAAGGACUGAGUUCAUUUUCAGCGUGUCUGGCUUUUCCAUUUCUGUGGCCUGGGAAGGAAUUUCCCUGCACAGGCUCUCUUGCCUGCCACCAUGUAAGACCUGCCUCUGCUCCUCCUUCACCUUCCGCCAUGAUUGUGAGGCCACCCCAGCCAUGUGGAACUGUCAAGAGGCUGGGAGGUGCCCUCUGCCUUUCAAGAUCAGAGAGUAGCUGAUCCCCCUCCUGCCGUCAUUUAUGGACUGAAUAACCACAGAGAGUGUGAGGCCGGCGGAAACUUGGCAGUGCCUGUUUGUCAUUGUCAGUUUCAAAUACUUUUUAAUUUUGAAUAGUUGUAGAUUUUCAGAAGGGUUAUGAAGAUUGUGCAGGCAGUUUCUGCAAGCUGCUGCUAAUUUCCCUCAGCUUCCACGUCUUCGCUGCCAUGGUCCACCUGCAGCAGCCAAGAAAGCCGCGUUGCAUCGCCACGAGCUAAACUCCAGCCUUCGGAUUUCAGAGCUUCCAUCCAUGUCCUCUCUCUGCUGUGACCCCACCUGGGGUGCCACGUCGUGUCUGAUCCUCCUGUGUCCUCGGCUUCUCUGGUCUGUGACAUUUCUGUCUCUCCUUUGCCAUGACCCUGGCAGUGUGGAGGAGACUGUUGGGCACCCUGUGGAUGCCCCUCAGUCUGGGUUCAUCUGUCCUUUUCCUCAUGGUUAGCCUGAGGUGGUGGGCUUCCGCAAAUAAUACCAAGGAGGUGAAAUGUUCUUCCCCUCACGGCCUCUCAGGGGCAUAGAACAUCCUCUUGACUUCACAGGUGGCGUUAACCCGAUCGCUUGUGUGAAAAUAACGCAUCGGGAGGCACUAGGCUGAGGGCUUCAGUACCUCAGAAGCAAACCCAGUUCCUGCACACAGAAACCCCAUUCAGGGUAAGGGGUCCUGUCCUAGGAAAGAAAAUUCAAGUUUAAACAGAAACUGCCAGCUAACCUCAAAGCAGAGGCCGUGUGACUGCUGUUUCACUUCAAUCCAUCCUUUUUCUGUUCUUCCUUCCAAGAACACUGAUGAAGGUUUUCCUUGUGCUCCUUGGUAGAGCCCAAACUGCUGUAGUUCAGUGCUGCCCAGCUCAUGGAUUCCUGUCUCCUCAAAUAACUCUUUACACUUUCACGUGCCUACGUUUAUCUUCUAACACUUGGAUCAGGUGGCGUCCGCCAGGUGUCUUCGCUGUAAAGUCACUGUCUUCCCUUCCACCGCUCCACUCUUUGGGAUGAGUCACGAAGCCUGUGCUACCUUCAGGGGAGGGCUGGGGAAGAGUUAAACUCCAUCUCCUGGAGGGGCUGCUACAUAUGAUCAUAUGAUGUUAUUUGGAGUAAGAAAGAUUUGCCUCUUCUCCAC